rnacentral:lncRNA from 1 species
GCAAAUUAUACAAAAUCACCAAUAAAAUAAUUUAAGUGAUAAUUAUAACACUUAAAUAUAUAAACUAUAGCUAUAAAAUAUAAUUAACUUUAUUAUAAUUACUACUAUUUACGAAAUUUCCAGAUUACGUAUAGAGUUAACUCCAAUAUUGGAGUAGUAGUUUAUAGAAUGUAGGACCAAUUCUUUAUUUAAAAAGUUUAUUUACUGUUUUUAGUAGCCACGUUGCAUUGAAAUCUCUUUCGUCAAUGCGAUACGCAAUGCCUGAUGCGUAAAAAAAGAAAAAGAAAAAAGAAAAAUAGGGGUGGUGAGACUAUUAAAGUUCGUCAACAACAAUAAUCAAAAUUAAAUGGUGAUAAUGAAGAUGAGUGUUCACCUCUUUGUGUUCCCCAGCUUAGUGGCUUUCUUCUUCUGUCUCUCUCAAGCAAAAUCAAUUACUUCAACUUCAACAAAACCCCUAAUUUACAUCGAAACCAAUCAGAGCACCGCUGCUGCUGCUAGAAGCUGCUCAUACACAUUGACAAUCAAAACAAGCUGUUCUUCACCUAAAUACACCAGAGACAGAGUCAGUAUUGCUUUUGGAGAUUCUUACGGUUUUGAGGUUCACGCGCCAAAGCUAGAUGAUCCGUCGUCGAAGAUAUUCGAAAGCUGUUCUACUGAUACUUUUCAGAUCCGUGGCCCCUGUAUUUAUGAGAUCUGCUACCUAAAUUUGAAGAGAGUUGGAUCGGACGGCUGGAAACCGGAGAGCGUCAAAGUUUACGGUCCAGAUCGUCCUGCUAUUACCUUUAAGUAUGAUAAGUUUCUUCCUAAUGGAGUUUGGUUUGGAUUUGAUCACUGUAAGAAACGCUCUCUCUAGGAAUAUGUUGUGUAUGAAAUUUGCUUUUUGCAGAUUUAAUCCAUGUAUUUAAAUGUGUUGUUUGGAUACAAUGAACAUUUGGUACGAUAGCGUUAAUGGGAGACGAUGGUGAAUGAAGAGGAUAAAGUGCCCUGUACUAAUAUUUUAAAAAUAACUUUGAGUUGUGAAUUAGUUUCAAUAUAGUAAUUAAAUCUGAAUCAAUAAAUUUAUGUCAUAUUCAGUUAUAAAAAAUUAAUCAUUUUGCAUAGGCUUUUUUAAAAGAAGGGAUAAUUUUACGAAAUCACCAAUUUGAUUAAUUUACCCUUUAUUCAUUGGGAAAUGUCUUGUAAUCUAUCUGAUUGAAAUCACUGUAUUAAUACCGAAUUUUGGAAAAAACUUUGUAUUUAUGUACUAUUUAAUAAUGUAUUUCAUAAUAUAUAUAUGUUUACGUGGAUAUCAUAAAUAUUGUAUCAUUAUAAAUAAAAACUUAUUCACGUGAAUAUAUAUAAACCUUUAAAAUACACUAUUAAAUAACGCAUGAAUAAUAAAUCAUGCUCAAAGUUUGAGAUUGCAAUAUCAAUUUUUGUCAAAAUUUAAAUAUAUUUCGAAUUAUUUUUCCUUUAUUCAUAUCGAUGGUCGACACGGAUAAUUAAAAUAAAUAUAAUGGGAAAAGGCAUAUAAAAAUUAUAAGUACUUCAAAGUUGGUGAUAACAAGAAUACAAAAUAGUGAUCAAGUGUUUAAUGAACUCAUUGAAAAGAUAAAUUUAGAACUUUAAUUUUGUUUUAUGUUUUCAAAGAGAAACUAUGGGAACAUUAAGCAUGAUUUCUUCUUUUUCCAAAUAACCUUGCUAAAAUAAAUUGUAUGUGGUAUCCUCUAGAAAAAAACAUUGAUACAACUCCAGAAGAUUUUCAGAAUCUGAUAAUUGACAUUUGAAUGGAAUGAAUUAAUACAAAGUUUUCAACUUUUAGUAUGUGGAUUGUGGGGUUAAAU